GUCGACGUACUUCAUAGGAUCAUUUCUAUAGUAGACGUCCCUCUUUGACUCUUCUAAAGAGCCACUGAAUCCAACUUGGACGAUGAGUUCAUAUGGCAUCAAUGCAAUCAAAAGUGAGAAACAUGCAAAUAGAAUUUGAUGUAACAGUCUGUCUAUUCAACUGCCUCAACUAUCUCGUAAAAGAGAUUCAGAGGAGCGAUGAUCUUUGGCUCUUUGUUUUGGUUGUUUAUACCGAACUUGAGCUUGCAUUGGUGUUUGUCUGACAAGU
rnacentral:snoRNA from 1 species